AGUAAUUACAAAUAAAUUAGUCUCAAAAUCUCUUAAAAAUUACUUAAAUAGUAGGACUCCAAGUCUCCAUAAAUUACAUACCCUACUAGUAGGUUAGGUAAAAAUUAAAAUUAUUAAAAAUAUAUAUUAAAUAAUAUAUUAUUAUUACAUGAUUGGAUUUCGGGUUGGGUUGGAUGGAUUAUUACGGAAUCCGAUAUCCGAUCCAAAGAUGAUUGGAUC
rnacentral:lncRNA from 1 species